GGAAGGAUCAUUACUGAAUCGUCAACGGGUUGUUGCUGGUCCUCAAACGGGGACAUGUGCACGCUCUGUUUACACAUCCACUCACACCUGUGCACCCUCCGUAGUUCUGUGGUCUGGGGGACCCUGUCUUCCUGCCGUGGUUCUACGUCUUUACACACACACUGUAAUAAAGUCUUAUGGAAUGUAUGCCGCGUCUAACGCAAUACAAUACAACUUUCAGCAACGGAUCUCUUGGCUCUCGCAUCGAUGAAGAACGCAGCGAAAUGCGAUAAGUAAUGUGAAUUGCAGAAUUCAGUGAAUCAUCGAAUCUUUGAACGCACCUUGCGCCCCUUGGCUAUUCCGAGGGGCAUGCCUGUUUGAGUAUCAUGAACACCUCAACUCUCAUGGUUUGCCGUGAUGAGCUUGGACUCUGGGGGUUUUGCUGGCCUGCGGUCGGCUCCCCUCAAAUGAAUCAGCCUCCCAGUGUUUGGUGGCAUCACGGGUGUGAUAAAUAUCUACGCUCGCAGUUGUCCGCCAGGUAACCUUUGGUAACAAAGGUUCGCUGGAGCUCACAGAUGUCUCUCCUCAGCGAGGACAGCUUUUUGAACGUUCGAUCUCAAAUCAGG
rnacentral:rRNA from 1 species